CAUUCCUCUCUCUUUCUCUUCCUAUCUUUCUUCUUGCAUGCAAUUCACAAAAUUUGUUGCCAUCCUUCUCUAAUCUGUUCCCUUUCAAUUCUCUUUGCUAUUCUUGGAAAUACGAAUUAGGAACUUUCAUGUGUUUGGAAUUGAAGAUCAAGUCUUAAUUUUCACAUGCAUUGGGAAAGAGAGAACUUAGAGCUUGAAGACGGUGGAAGUACUCCGCAACGGCUAGAAUACAGCGCGCCUCUUGUCGGGUCGUCAACAAUUGGUUCAACCUAUGGAUCGUUUGGUGCCUCAAAUUAUCCGCCUAAGAAGGAGGUGGCUCUAUGUGCAUUGGCUGAGAUGGGAAGAUGUUAAGCGUCGAUGUUGGAGGUCUCAUCGCCAUAUUAUCUGCCAUAAGAUUCAUAGAUGAGUCAUGUGAUGUGUGGAAAUGGUCUGGUUAU